ensembl:lncRNA LINC01471 long intergenic non-protein coding RNA 1471
AAUGCAGAGGUGGGGGACAGAGUGGGUGGGGAGGGGAGCCGCCAUACAGUGGCCAGGACCAGCUUUGCCCAAGUGGUGGCAACCGCAUGACCACAGGAACGAUGGCGUGAGCCCCGUGGCAACCUGGAGGAAGGGCCAAGCCACUGGUGAAUAUGCUGCAAAAAAUAUGCUGGAACUUCUAUGAAUACCACAGGGUGUGAGAAGAAAACAUUAGAACUUCUAUUUUGUACCUGUGUUACUCCACAACAAGAAAGCAAUCAGCUUGAUCAAUGCCUACUGUAAAGACGGCACCGCCCUCCGGAGGUCCUUUCUCAGCCCUGGUGUUCGGACAGCCACAUCCCCUCGCAGCAGGGGGAGGCCUGAAGCAUAGAGGGGCCCAUGCAGGUCUAUUCUGUUUCAGCGAAUUGCCUGGGAAAUAAUCCAGGAUCCAUUUCGUGUGGUCAUCUUGUCUCCCUGGUCCCCUCCAGCCUUUCCUCAUCUUUUGUGACCUGGUCACUCUGGAAGGGCGCUGGCCAGUUAGUCCACAGGAUGGGCCUCCCCUGGGGCUUUUCUGAUGCUUCCUUAUGAUGGCACUGGCAUCCUGAGGGGGAGGACCACAGAGAGGAGGUGCUCCUCAUCACACCACAUGGGGGUCCAUGCACCAGUGCCACUGCUUUCCAGGGCUCUUCACCUUCAUCACUGGUGGAGGUGGCGUCUGCCAAGAAGCAGAAAGUUGAGGCUUAGAAGGUGCACGGCCCUACCUCUUCCGAGGUGCCCCUGCGGGCUGUCUACAGACCAGGCAGCACAUGCCUGAUAGCAGCUGCAUAAGGAAAAGCAGGAGCCAGCUCGUGCACAGUGGCCUCAAGUGUGCACUGGGCAUGUUCUCUGCCUCACCAUCCCUGUGUGACAGAUGAAGCUUCAAGGACCACAGAGGGCCAAGUGCAGGAGUAAGAGGCUGGCGUGCUGACAGUGGCCAAGGGCAUUGGAGGGAAGGACCUGUCAUCACUGGGCCAAGGAAGGAACUCCAGACUGCCUACUUCCAGAGGGCCUGCUGAGGAAUUUUAGCUUGAACUUGCCUGCCUUGACUAGGGCUUUCUGAGCAGCAGAUGAUUCUGCAAUGGUGUUAGUCCAGGCCUGGUUCUGCAUGACAUUGACCAUACUGUGCACCCUGGGGUCAUUAUGUCUUGGGCUUCAAGGGGCUCCAUGGGCUCCAGGGGGCUCCAUGUGACACUGCACAGAGCUCUCUCUAGGUCACCUGGAUGUGUCUCUUCCUAGGAACCCCAAAGAGCUCUCUCAACAAACACACCCACGAGUUCCAGGAGUGAGGCUGCAGGGAACAGCCUCACUCUCAGAGGGGAUACAGAAUUGUUCCACUGGACAAGGGCUGGGAUCGUCAUAGGAUGCCGUUGGCCUGUGGUUUCCAACAGAGGUGCAGUUCAUUGAACUGUGGUCUACAGUCCAUUCUCUAACUUGGGGACCCUUGAAGAAGUGUGGAAUCAUGACAACAACCCUGUUGGGAGACACUAUUAUUCCCAUCACAUGGAUGAGCACACGGAGGCAAAAGGAAGUUAUAUGAUUGUCUGAGAUCACCCAGUGAAGACUGUGUGGCUGGGAGUUGUCCCCAGUGUUAUCUGCACGCUGCUUCCUUUUGAUGCCUGGCCCUUCUUUAUCAAAAGAAGCAUUGGCAGAAUCUGGGUGUUUAUGGGUCAGCUCAAAAUAAAUUACUUUAUAUGUCA